rnacentral:rRNA from 1 species
AUUGAACGCUGGCGGCAGGCCUAACACAUGCAAGUCGAGCGGUAACACAGGGAGCUUGCUCCUGGGUGACGAGCGGCGGACGGGUGAGUAAUGUCUGGGAAACUGCCUGAUGGAGGGGGAUAACUACUGGAAACGGUAGCUAAUACCGCAUAAUGUCGCAAGACCAAAGAGGGGGACCUUCGGGCCUCUUGCCAUCAGAUGUGCCCAGAUGGGAUUAGCUAGUAGGUGAGGGAACGGCUCACCUAGGCGACGAUCCCUAGCUGGUCUGAGAGGAUAACCAGCCACACUGGAACUGAGACACGGGCCAGACUCCUACGGGAGGCAGCAGUGGGGAAUAUUGCACAAUGGGCGCAAGCCUGAUGCAGCCAUGCCGCGUGUAUGAAGAAGGCCUUCGGGUUGUAAAGUACUUUCAGCGGGGAGGAAGGUGUUGAGGUUAAUAACCUCAGCAAUUGACGUUACCCGCAGAAGAAGCACCGGCUAACUCCGUGCCAGCCGCCGCCGUAAAAC